rnacentral:rRNA from 1 species
GGGACACGUGGUAUCCUGUCUGAAUAUGGGGGGACCAUCCUCCAAGGCUAAAUACUCCUGACUGACCGAUAGUGAACCAGUACCGUGAGGGAAAGGCGAAAAGAACCCCGGCGAGGGGAGUGAAAAAGAACCUGAAACCGUGUACGUACAAGCAGUGGGAGCACGCUUAGGCGUGUGACUGCGUACCUUUUGUAUAAUGGGUCAGCGACUUAUAUUCUGUAGCAAGGUUAACCGAAUAGGGGAGCCGAAGGGAAACCGAGUCUUAACUGGGCGUUAAGUUGCAGGGUAUAGACCCGAAACCCGGUGAUCUAGCCAUGGGCAGGUUGAAGGUUGGGUAACACUAACUGGAGGACCGAACCGACUAAUGUUGAAAAAUUAGCGGAUGACUUGUGGCUGGGGGUGAAAGGCCAAUCAAACCGGGAGAUAGCUGGUUCUCCCCGAAAGCUAUUUAGGUAGCGCCUCGUGAAUUCAUCUCCGGGGGUAGAGCACUGUUUCGGCAAGGGGGUCAUCCCGACUUACCAACCCGAUGCAAACUGCGAAUACCGGGGAAUGUUAUCACGGGAGACACACGGCGGGUGCUAACGUCCGUCGUGAAGAGGGAAACAACCCAGACCGCCAGCUAAGGUCCCAAAGUCAUGGUUAAGUGGGAAACGAUGUGGGAAGGCCCAGACAGCCAGGAUGUUGGCUUAGAAGCAGCCAUCAUUUAAAGAAAGCGUAAUAGCUCACUGGUCGAGUCGGCCUGCGCGGAAGAUGUAACGGGGCUAAACCAUGCACCGAAGCUGCGGCAGCGACGCUGAUGCGUUGUUGGGUAGGGGAGCGUUCUGUAAGCCUGCGAAGGUGUGCUGUGAGG